ensembl:lncRNA
GGGGGCUGUCAUGUGUCAUGGAAGAGCCUUCAGAAUCAAAGAGCCGGAGAUGAACUUCAGUUUGUGGUUGUAGGAUGACAGAAGAAGAACAAUGUUUACACAUGUAAUGGUGUGUGUGUGUGUGUGUGUGUGUGUGUGUGUGUGUGUGUGUGUGUGUGUGUGUGUGUGUGUGUGUGUGUGUGUGUGUGUGUGUGUGUGUGUGUGUGUGUGUGUGUGCCCCGCCCACCUCUCACCAAGGUUUGCCUGUUCGUCGGUCCGUCUUUCACUCUGUUGCUCUCUUGGUAUUUGUAGUUUGGUUAUUUUGUAGUUCUUUAUAUUUGGCUUCUAGAAGGUCAGGGGCCCCACAGGCUAAUACUGUGGAGGGGGAACUGAGAACUCACACACACGCACACACACCCUAGAAGUAACAUCAUUAAUGUGCAGAUACAUCGGGAAACAACUAAGGGCAUGUAGGGUUUGGUUCAAGCGUGAAGUUAACCUUGAGGUUAACUCAGAUACUCAGAAAUGUAAAAACUAUUUAAAGGAGCAAAACGGAAUCAAAGUAAGACACCUAGUCGACGGCGUCUUUUGUAUUUGCUUUGCACAUACGCGUGUUCCCACUCUCAUCGGCACUAGCUAUCCGCCCUCGUCCCUACCGACGCCGUUUAUCUGAAGGACCCCCCUCCCUGUGUCUCCAGCCAACCUUUCUGUCGGUAGAACGCUUGACUGGUGGUCAGCGUUCUACCGCCCCCCCCCCCCCUCCCUCACACUGACGGGGAAACAUGGCAGUCCCUCAUGGGCAUUACGUCAGGCUAAAUGCUACAAGUUUACAUUGUGAAUGCGAAUGUACCGUGUCUGCUUUUAUGUGCUUCAUGAUCAUACACAUGUGGGUGGGAGGGGGGGUGUUUUUAUCCAACACAGACUCUUAAGUAUUCACUUACACCACGAUCGAUUAUCUAUGGUGGGGGGUGAAAUGAUCCAAGCAUAUCCGUUUAUGAACCAACCACGUUUUGUUGCCAAUUUGAUACGUUUGUGUUAUUUUACGUGAGAUGCGUUUCACCCCAGUCUGUGUAUUUGUUUCGUUUUGUGUUUUUCGCACUGGUUGGGUUGAGUCCGCUAUACAUUGUGACCCGGCCCAUGGGCAGAGCGGGAACAUGGGUCGUUGUCCAAUCAAAAUGUGAAAACAAAUGGGUUGUCUGCGGCCCAUUCGCUGCUUUGUACAAGACGUUGAUUUGUAUUUUAGUUUUUCUUUUUCAGUUUGUUGCAUUGUACAGGCUGUUACAUAACAUUAAAAUCAUAUCUUCCCAAUUUGUAAAAAAAUGAAAAGAAAUAAACCAAAAAACACAGUAC